AUGCAUGUCAAAGUUCAAAUUGCUUAUAAUAGUGAAACCGCGAACGGCUCAUUACAACAGCCAUAAUAUACUUGAUGUUGAUCUUCCACGUGGAUAACUGUGGUAAUUCUAGAGCUAAUACAUGCACCAAAGCUCUGAUUUUUUGACGAGCGCAUCUAUUAGACCAAAAACCAAUCGAGAUUAUUCUUGCAUCCGUGCUCGAAAUUCUCGUAAAUUUGGUGACUCUGAAUAGCUUAGCUGAUCGCAUGGUCAAGUACCGGCGACGUAUCUAUCAAGUGUCUGCCUUAUCAACUUUCGAUGGUAGUUUAUAUGCCUACCAUGGUUGUAACGGGUAACGGAGAAUGAGGGUUCGACUCCGGAGAGGGAGCCUGAGAAACGGCUACCACAUCCAAGGAAGGCAGCAGGCGCGCAAAUUACCCACUCUCAGCACGAGGAGGUAGUGACGAAAAAUAACGAGACCGUUCUCUUCGAGGCCGGUUAUCGGAAUGAGUACAUCUUAAAGCCGUUAACAAGGAUCUAUGAGAGGGCAAGUCUGGUGCCAGCAGCCGCGGUAAUUCCAGCUCUCAAAGUGUAUAUCGUCAUUGCUGCGGUUAAAAAGCUCGUAGUUGGAUUUAAGCUCGAUGACUCGGUCCAUCCAUGUGGUGAGAACUGAGCUCAUCGGCUAAUAUUGCUGGUUUUGUUUAGGUGGCCUUAACUGGUCGCCUAGACUGGCUAGCGAGUUUACUUUGAAAAAAUUAGAGUGCUCAACGCGGGCUUAAUGCCUGAAUAGUCGUGCAUGGAAUAAUGGAAUAGGAUCUCGGUUCUAUUUUGUUGGUUUUCUGAUCUGAGAUAAUGGUUAAGAGGGACAGACGGGGGCAUUCGUAUCGCUGCGUGAGAGGUGAAAUUCUUGGACCGUAGCGAGACGCCCGACUGCGAAAGCAUUUGCCAAGAAUG
rnacentral:rRNA from 1 species